rnacentral:tRNA from 1 species
GUGCGUGUAGCUUAAUGGUAGAGCCUCCGCCUUCAUAAAGUUAUUGCUUCCUGAAAGCGGACGAUGCGCGUUCGAAUCGCGUCACGCACU